UACGUAGGGGGCGAGCGUUGUCCGGAUUUAUUGGGCGUAAAGCGCUCGCAGGUGGUUCGUUGCGUCGUGCGUGAAAGGCCCCGGCUCAACUGGGGAGGGUCGUGCGAUACGGGCGGACUGGAGGCCAGUAGGGGGAUGCGGAAUUCCGGGUGUAGUGGUGGAAUGCGUAGAGAUCCGGAGGAACACCAGCGGCGAAGGCGGCAUCCUGGACUGGUCCUGACACUCAGGAGCGAAAGCGUGGGGAGCGAUCCGG
rnacentral:rRNA from 1 species